rnacentral:rRNA from 1 species
UACGAAGGGGGCUAGCGUUGCUCGGAAUUACUGGGCGUAAAGCGUGCGCAGGCGGUUAUGCAAGACAGAUGUGAAAUCCCCGGGCUUAACCUGGGAACUGCAUUUGUGACUGCAUAGCUGGAGUGCGGCAGAGGGGGAUGGAAUUCCGCGUGUAGCAGUGAAAUGCGUAGAUAUGCGGAGGAACACCGAUGGCGAAGGCAAUCCCCUGGGCCUGCACUGACGCUCAUGCACGAAAGCGUGGGGAGCAAACAGG